rnacentral:rRNA from 1 species
AUUGAACGCUGGCGGCAUGCCUUACACAUGCAAGUCGAACGGGAGCACGGGUGCUUGCACCUGGUGGCGAGUGGCGAACGGGUGAGUAAUACAUCGGAACAUGUCCUGUAGUGGGGGAUAGCCCGGCGAAAGGCGGAUUAAUACCGCAUACGAUCUACGGAUGAAAGCGGGGGACCUUCGGGCCUCGCGCUAUAGGGUUGGCCGAUGGCUGAUUAGCUAGUUGGUGGGGUAAAGGCCUACAAAGGCGACGAUCAGUAGCUGGUCUGAGAGGACGACCCGCCACACUGGGACUGAGCCACGGCCCAGACUCCUACGCGAGGCAGCAGUGGGGAAUUUUGGACAAUGGGCGAAAGCCUGAUCCAGCAAUGCCGCGUGUGUGAAGAAGCCCUUCGGGUUGUAAAGCACUUUUGUCCGGAAAGAAAUCCUUGGCCCUAAUACGGUCUGGGGAUGACGGUACCGGAAGAAUAAGCACCGGCUAACUCCGUG